UGUUUCCCUCAAUUGAGAUAUAUCAAUCGAUAUCUAAGGCAGCUUCCUCCAUAGAAACUGAACAUCACCGCUUACUGUGCAGCUUUUAUAAAAUAAUUGACAGUAGUUGAUUGGAGUUUACCACCAGGAAGUUCAAACAAUGAUUGUACUUACAAGUCACGACUAGAUCAGCAGUCAAAUAAAGAGUUGUGCUGAAUGUCGGACAGCAACAAUCCUAGUGGAAGUUCAACUCCUGUCGGAACUUCAGAGUGCUUUAGAUCAGUCGGGAAACGGUGUGCCGACAGGCUACAACCCAUGGGAUCGGCUUGUAAUAGCAACAUGGCAGAUUAUCUGAUUACUGGUGGCACAGGGUAUGUACCAGAUGAUGGUCUUACUGGCGCACAACUCUUCUCACAUGGUGAUGGAUUCACGUACAAUGACUUUCUCAUUCUACCAGGCUUCAUUGACUUUGCAGCAGAAGAAGUGGAUCUUACAUCUGCCUUGACAAAGAGGAUCACUUUAAGAGCACCACUUGUAUCUUCCCCAAUGGACACUGUGACAGAAUCUCAGAUGGCAAUUGCCAUGGCAUUAUGUGGAGGCGUGGGUGUUAUUCAUCACAAUUGUUCGUUAGAGUUUCAAACAAAUGAAGUGCGAAAGGUCAAGAAAUACGAGCAAGGUUUUAUAGUGGACCCAGUAGUGAUGUCACCAACACAUACAGUAAAAAAUGUGAUAGAUGCAAAGAAACAGUACGGAUUUUCUGGUAUCCCCAUCACAGAGAACGGACACAUGGGGGAAAAACUUGUUGGUCUUGUUACACAGAGAGACAUAGAUUUUCUAUCAUCAGAGGAUUACAAAACAUCAGUUUCAGAAGUUAUGACCCCAUUUGAGGAGCUUGUUUGUGCUCCAGCAGGUGUCACGCUUAAAGAGGCAAAUCAGAUAUUACAGAAAAGCAAAAAAGGUAAACUUCCAAUAAUCAAUGACAAUGGUGAGUUGGUAGCUUUGAUUGCCAGAACAGACACAAAGAAAAACAGAGAGUAUCCAUUAGCAUCUAAAGAUGAAAAGAAGCAGUUGUUGGUUGGUGCAGCAGUAAGUACACAUGAAUCAGACAAACCUCGGGUCGAAGCUCUCGUCGGUGCUGGUGUAGAUUUCAUUGUCAUAGGAUGUAACCCUCACGAUUCGUCUCAAGGGAAUUCCAUAUAUCAAAUAGACAUGAUCAAAUCAUUAAAGAAACGUUUCCCAGAUCUUCAGGUGAUAGGUGGGAAUGUUGUGACAGCGGCGCAGGCAAAGAAUCUCAUUGAUGCGGGUGUAGACGGUCUCCGAGUAGGGAUGGGUAGUGGAUCCAUUUGCAUCACACAGGAAGUAAUGGCAGUUGGACGCCCACAGGCGACAGCUGUAUAUAAGGUAGCAGAAUAUGCAAGAAGAUUUGGCGUACCUGUGAUAGCGGACGGGGGAAUCUCAACAGUCGGUCAUCUCAUUAAGGCUCUGUCAUUAGGUGCUUCAACUGUGAUGAUGGGUUCAAUGUUAGCGGGCACAUCCGAGGCACCUGGUGAAUAUUUCUUUGCUGAUGGUGUUCGGUUAAAAAAGUACAGGGGAAUGGGAUCGUUAGAUGCCAUGGAAAAACACAGAGCUAGUCAGAGCAGAUAUUUUAGCGAGAGUGAUAAAUUAAAAGUGGCACAAGGAGUUUCAGGAUCCAUUCAAGAUAAAGGGUCCAUCCACAAAUUUGUACCAUACUUAAUCGCAGGUGUUCAACAUGGUUGUCAGGAUAUUGGUUCAAAAAGUCUGUCUCAUUUAAGAUCUAUGAUGUAUUCUGGAGAGCUGAAAUUUGAAAGAAGAACCACUUCAGCACAGAUUGAGGGAGGAGUUCACAAUUUACAUUCGGGCUUUAGAUAUGAGAAGCGUCUGUACUGAUGGAAUGGAAGGGAGAGAUAUAUAAAUCCGUGUGAAGCCGAGUGCAAUCUACAAUCAUGAUUAAACAUUUUACACUACAUUGAGAUUACUGCCAGAAACUGGCAGAAAUUGGCAAUGCUUUGAAACAGGCAUAUUUACAAAUGUCAGAAACAGUUUUAAUGAAUCAAUAGACAGCUGAAAACAGUGUAUGUAUGAUGUGAUGUGAAGUUAAAGGUGUCUUGGACCAUUCCAUGAGUACAGACCAAUUAAAGGCAUAAUACUUGUUGUUUACUAGAUUAGCAUUGUAUACAUGUGAUCUCUGUAAAUAAAUGAAAUAUUCGACUGAAUGUCUUUAAAAGAUGAGCAAAUGAUGUAAUAAGUAAUUUACUGUAAAAAAACAAUCUUUUGUUUUAAAAAUGAGUAUGUUUUUUUGAGAGUACAUGACUGUAUUUAGCAUGUAAAGGGAUGUAAGUUAAUUGCUAGAUUUUUCGAACUAGAUCCUUGAAAAGAAAAAAGUCAAGCAUAUUUAGCAUAUUCACUUGUUUUCGAGAUUCUGUCAUCUGUUAUUUUCGCUGCAAAAACAACAACAAAACCAUGCCUAUUGAAAGAAAUACAUAAAAAGCCUUUAGAAUGCCCUUGAAGAUAAAAGAUAAAUGUAUUGACUGACAGAGUACCCCAAUCUACAUUUAAACAAGGAAGAUAGAAAGUGAACAUGUGGUAGAAUGUUCUCUAGCAGUUAAUUUAUAGUUGCCUUUCUUGUUAUUUUAUCUGGAGUGACAAUUCUGAAAGGAUCAAGAAAAUGUGUUGGAAUAGAUCAUUGUUAUAGAAAAAAGAUUGUUAUAGUCAAGAAAUAUAAGACUGUUAAUAUGAAUAAUCAUAUAUAUAAUGUGGAUAUCAAUGUUGGUAGAUAUAAUAAAUUUAUUUGUUAAUGUCAA
rnacentral:misc_RNA from 1 species